rnacentral:hammerhead_ribozyme from 1 species
GUUCUGAUGAAGAGUCCCAAACUAGGACGAAACAGCUUUCAAGUAC